rnacentral:rRNA from 1 species
UGGGGAAUAUUGCACAAUGGGCGCAAGCCUGAUGCAGCAACGCCGCGCGAGGGACGACGGCCUUCGGGUUGUAAACCUCUUUUAGUAGGGAAGAAGCGAAAGUGACGGUAUCUGCAGAAAAAGCACCGGCUAACUACGUGCCAGCAGCCGCGGUAAUACGUAGGGUGCGAGCGUUGUCCGGAAUUAUUGGGCGUAAAGAGCUCGUAGGCGGUCUGUCGCGUCUGCUGUGAAAACCCGAGGCUCAACCUCGGGCCUGCAGUGGGUACGGGCAGACUAGAGUGCGGUAGGGGAGAAUGGAAUUCCUGGUUAGCGGUGGAAUGCGCAGAUAUCAGGAGGAACACCGAUGGCGAAGGCAGUUCUCUGGGCCGUAACUGACGCUGAGGAGCGAAAGCGUGGGGAGCGAACAGGAUUAGAUACCCUGGUAGUCCACGCCGU